AAGAAGAGCCGCACAGGAGGAGGAUUUCUGAGUGGAAGUGUACAUUCAUUUAUCACCAAGGCUGCUGACUAUUUGCAAAUCGAAUGCAUUACCAGGUCCCUUAGGAUAGCCUUUUAUGAGUAAUGAACAAAAAACUCAUACCUGCUGUCAAAAAUGCUCGGUUUUAUUCUUAGGCAUUCCGGCGAAAUCCCGGUUCUCUGCAGGGCUCCUCCAUCUACCCAGACUUCACCACGCUUUUCCAAGAAAACUAGGAGUUUGGAACGUGUUCCUGGUUGCUCCGGCCCCUGAAAGAAAUGCAAAGCGGCACACGCCGCACGGUGGAGAGCUGGAAUCGAAUUUCCCAGUGGUCAAGAUCAGCAACGUGAAGGAGGAAGGGGGAGGAAGAGCCUAGAACAACUGACAGACAGUUCCGAUCGUUUUCACGACGUCGAUCUGCGGCAGGCCGUCCUCGGGAAUGGACACUACCGGGGUUUGGGAACGCGGGACGAAAUGUCAUCUUUCCACAGCACGAGAAGAUGUCUGAGAAUCCUGUCAAGGAAGAGCCACACUAAGUAGGUGGAUUGUGUGGUCCGUUUCAAAUCAAAUGGUGGAUACACAGCCUGAGAUGUCCCAUUAAACAGACCGGAAGCUUGUGGGAAGGGAACGUGUCUACCGAC